AACGUGUGCAGCAAGCCUAACCCUGCAAUUGAAACGGUAACAGAAAGAAAGCUUGCUUCUUUGCUGACGAGGGCGGUUGUGUGAGUAAUGUCUGGGAAAUUUCCUGAUGGAGGGGGAUAACUACUGAAAAACGGUAGCUAAUACCGCAUAACGUCGCAAGACCAAAGAGGGGGACCUUCGGGCCUCUUGCCAUCGGAUGUGCCCAGAUGGGAUUAGCUAGUAGGUGGGGUAACGGCUCACCUAGGCGACGAUCCCUAGCUGGUCUGAGAGGAUGACCAGCCACACUGGAACUGAGACACGGCCCAGACUCCUACGGGAGGCAGCAGUGGGGAAUUUUGGACAAUGGGCGAAAGCCUGAUCCAGCCAUGCCGCGUGCAGGAUGAAGGCCUUCGGGUUGUAAACUGCUUUUGUACGGAACGAAACGGCCUUUUCUAAUAAAGAGGGCUAAUGACGGUACCGUAAGAAUAAGCACCGGCUAACUACGUGCCAGCAGCCGCGGUAAUACGUAGGGUGCAAGCGUUAAUCGGAAUUACUGGGCGUAAAGCGUGCACAGGCGGUUUUGUAAGACGGAUGUGAAAUCCCCGGGCUUAACCUGGGAACUGCAUUCGUGACUGCAAGGCUAGAGUAUGGCAGAGGGGGGUAGAAUUCCACGUGUAGCAGUGAAAUGCGUAGAGAUGUGGAGGAAUACCGAUGGCGAAGGCAGCCCCCUGGGCCAAUACUGACGCUCAUGCACGAAAGCGUGGGGAGCAAACAGG
rnacentral:rRNA from 1 species